GGGGCUGACUAGGUUUCGACAGGAUUAGUAAGGGAUUAGCUGCAUGCCGUGUUGCUACGUUAAACGCUAAAUUAAAAUUAAACGCAAACAAAAAAGAAUUAGCUCCUGCUUACGCUUACGCUGCGUAAGUUCAGUUGAGCCCUGCGAUGCUUAAAGCUUGUAAUAGCAUUAGCGGGUCAUCAUUCAAGCUAGUUUAAAGUUUUGGCUAGACUUUAAAUAAAAUAAAAGCCUUAGUUUUUGCUAAAGUCGUAAGCUGCACUUGGCAAAAAUGAAUUUAAGCAGCCUACUAAGCAUGUAGACGCUGGUUUUGAGCUAGUUUUGGACUGGAGUUCAAAUCUCCACAGCUCCACCA
rnacentral:tmRNA from 1 species